GGUCAUGGUGUGAUGUUUGAAAGAGCAAUUAUCACUGCCAAUUCCCUAGCUACCAUCAACCACAGCCUCCAAACCAAGGGAUGGGAUGAUGCUGUGUGUCACUGGGUUCAGGCAAACCUAAAUGGAUAAGCUGGGUCCACCCAGGGAAAAGCAACCAAGCAAGCCACCCUUUGCCUGGGAUGUCUUCUGCCACCCUGCAGCAUCCAAAUGCUAUUCCGAAGGUGUUAGAAAAGAUUGCAUCCUCUUUUUUCCAAGCAGAACAAAAACGUUUGCCCAGCCUGCCCUCCCCUCCACCUGAAAAAAAAAUUGAUUAUACUUUGUCAAAAGUCAUUCGGUGAGGCAGAGAUAUGGCUGGAAACGAAACCAAGGUCUCAAGACUGACAGCCCAAAGUUACUGUCCCAGGGGCUCCCUGUAUCACCAAAAUGAGAAUGAUGUGUCACUCUAAAUGUCACGACACUGAGCUUCAGAACUGCCUCUUGUCAGCAACAAAUGAGACAACUCUGACCCGCCAUGCCAGGAAAAAUAAAACCUAGCAUAGCAUAGCAGGACGAUGAAUUUCGCCCACCAAAAUGAGCCUCCAAAAACUUUAAAUUAAUAUUUUAGUUAGUAUAUGAGUAACAACUUUGAUGGUAAGAUUUUCUUACUGGUAUGUCAUCAUAUCUCGUUCAGAUCCACCACCACCUCCAUUACUCUCACAUUCCCACUCCCUCUCAGUGGUCCUCUGCAUCCCUGAAAUUGUUUCUCUCUCUCUCUCUCUCUCUCUCUCUCUCUCUCUCUCUCUCUCUCUCUCUCUCUCUCUCUCUCUCUCUCGUGUGUGUGUGUGUGUGUGUGUGUGUGUGUGUGUGUGUGUGUGUGUGUGUGUGUGUGUGUGUGAAGACAGAAGGCAGGAGCGGGGAACCACAUCCUGUGACUCCCUCACAUCACCCCCUGUUGCUCCACAUUGAGGCUACUUUUCGCUUACUGUGUCUGAAGUGCACACAAACCCCCUCCCAAAUUCAUUUUGACAACGCCUCCUAGCACGUAGCUGCAACAAGUGCUAGAAAUACAGCAUGCAUUCCUAGCUGUCGUGAACCAGCUGUGAGAUGAGGAGACUGUUCCUCACAUCUGGGCUCUCCCAUCCCCGAGUCUGUAUCUAAUAACUUUAAUGGUAUAUCUAGGAUACAGAUGUUAACAGAAGUAGACAAAGGUGAGCCCAAGACUCAGAGCCUGAAGGGGCAUCUGCUUCGACAUCACAUGGCCAAUAUUUUUCAAGAGAAAAUGGUUUUCUCUUAGGACACCAUUGAACUCCACACUUGACACCUUAGAAAAUGGCGUUCUUGGUUCUUAGACAAUUGGCCAGGCUGUUCUUCCACAAAAUGAUCUUCAGGGAGAAAUGCUGUCCAAAUAAAAUAACUAAAAUAGAAGCAUCGGAGAGUGCCUAGGGCACAUGACAUAGCACAUCAAGAUGCAGAAAGAAGAAGAUAGGGGUGGGUUUAAGAGUCCACUUGGAGUCUCAACGAGAAAGCCUACUAAUACACAGUAAUGACUGGGCAACCACAGAGAUAAAAACGCUGACAAUGGUGUCCUUGGCACACCAUUCUGAUAUCCUCACGGGGAACAGCAUGGACUUGAGAUAUGGUAGUUCCUCAAGCUGUAGUUCUCCAUAGCCAACCACAAGUGACUCCAUUGACAAAGGCCCAUUGAACCCAGAGUGAGAGGUGCUGUGCUCCUUGGAAGCCAGAGUCUUUCCUGGCUGUGGCCAGGCCUUUCGUUCCUAGUCACUUGGGAGUGCCAGAUGCCUGACAACCUGGCAUGUGACUUUCUGUGGAAGGGGGAUGGGGAGGGCACUCCUAAACUGUGCUCCAGGGGUUUGGGUACAGGCUCCCUGGGCACCUGCACCACAGUGAUACCCCGAGGCACAGUAAUAAGUAGCGCUGUCUUCAAGGCUCACUGGAGAGAUCACCAGAUGGAAGGUUCUGUUGGCCUUGCUGUGCUUCACAGAAAAUCGACCUUGAACAAAAUCUGCAUCAUGGGAACUAGUGUCGUCCCUAUAAAGGAUGAACUGGAAGGAUCUGUCUGGCCUUUUGCGAUACCAAAAUAAAUCUGGGUUUGG
rnacentral:lncRNA from 1 species